GUCACGGGCAGAGCGGAGAGACAGAGAAGGGGCAUACCUAUGGAUCUGUAAAGAGAUAUGAGGGGCUUGAAUUGUUUAGUGCUUUAUAGGUAUUGAAUUUACUCCUAUAGGAUACAGGAAGCCAAUGUAAGGACUGACAGAGGGGUGAGGUGUGAGAGGACCGACUAGAGAGGAAAAUCAGUAGGUGACAGCAUUCAUUAAG